rnacentral:rRNA from 1 species
UACAGAGGGUGCGAGCGUUAAUCGGAAUUACUGGGCGUAAAGCGUGCGUAGACGGUUAUGUAAGUCAGAUGUGAAAGCCCCGGGCUCAACCUGGGAAUUGCAUUUGAGACUGCAUAGCUAGGGUGCGGAAGAGGGAAGCGGAAUUUCCGGUGUAGCGGUGAAAUGCGUAGAUAUCGUUUGGAACGCCGAUGGUGAAAACAGGUCGCUGGGGUUGUGCUGACGCUGAGACACGAAAGCCAGGGGAGCGAACGGG